GUGUAUAUGGAAGAUGGACCUA
rnacentral:siRNA from 1 species